rnacentral:rRNA from 1 species
ACUCAAAUGAAUUGACGGGGACCCGCACAAGCGGUGGAUGAUGUGGUUUAAUUCGAUGCAACGCGAAAAACCUUACCCACCUUUGACAUGUAUGGAAUCCCGCAGAGAUGUGGGAGUGCCCGAAAGGGAGCCAUAACACAGGUGCUGCAUGGCUGUCGUCAGCUCGUGUCGUGAGAUGUUGGGUUAAGUCCCGCAACGAGCGCAACCCUUGUCAUUAGUUGCUACGAAAGGGCACUCUAAUGAGACUGCCGGUGACAAACCGGAGGAAGGUGGGGAUGACGUCAAGUCCUCAUGGCCCUUAUAGGUGGGGCUACACACGUCAUACAAUGGCUGGAACAGAGGGCUGCAAACCCGCGAGGGGGAGCCAAUCCCACAAAUCCAGUCGUAGUCCGGAUCGCAGUCUGCAACUCGACUGCGUGAAGUCGGAAUCGCUAGUAAUCGCGGAUCAGAAUGUCGCGGUGAAUACGUUCCCGGGUCUUGUACACACCGCCCGU